GGACAUUUCCUUUGCAAUGGCCGCGUCACAAUAAUGUACACAACAUAUUGCCACUAUCACUAUUUCACAGAAGGCGUCUUAUCGAAAACGUAACGCACAGUUGACAAUUUAAUACGUCGGCUCGGAGAAUCGUUGAGGGAAAUGAUAACAGAUGGCGUUGCGACGAGAUUUUUGGAAGCAAUGUCAUCUGUUCACCAUGCAGUUGUUAUAUGAUAUGGUGUAUGGACUGUAUCAGAAUAUUUUCAGGCUUAGGAAAAUUUUGAAUUUUGGCGCACUUACACGGCAUCAAUUUGAUUUUAAUAAAUAAAAUGUCGUAAUAUGAUUGUGGGAGAAUGCUCU